UACGUAGGGGGCGAGCGUUGUCCGGAUUUAUUGGGCGUGAAGGGCGUGUAGGCGGCCAGGUAGGUCUGCUGUGAAAACUCGAGGCUCAACCUCGAGACGCCGAUGGAAACCAUCUGACUAGAGUCCGGAAGAGGAGAGUGGAAUUCCUGGUGUAGCGGUGAAAUGCGCAGAUAUCAGGAAGAACACCCGUGGCUAAGGCGGCUCUCUAGUACGGUACUGACGCUGAGACGCGAAAGCGUGGGGAGCGAACAGG
rnacentral:rRNA from 1 species